GUGUCAGCAGCCGCGGUAAGACGAAGGGGGCUAGCGUUGUUCGGAAUUACUGGGCGUAAAGGGCGCGCAGGCGGCUUUGCAAGUCAGGCGUUAAAGACCCAGGCUCAACCUGGGGAAUGCGCUUGAUACUGCAGAGCUUGAGAUCGGAAGAGGAGAGUGGAAUUCCCAGUGUAGAGGUGAAAUUCGUAGAUAUUGGGAAGAACACCAGUGGCGAAGGCAGCUCUCUGGGACGUUACUGACGCUGAGACGCGAAAGCGUGGGGAGCAAACAGGAUUAGAUACCCUGGUAGUCCACGCCGUAAACGAUGGUCACUAGAUGUGGGGGGUGUCGACUCCCUCCGUGUCGUAGCUAACGCGUUAAGUGACCCGCCUGGGGAGUACGGCCGCAAGGCUAAA
rnacentral:rRNA from 1 species